rnacentral:rRNA from 1 species
UACGAGAGGUCCAAACGUUAUUCGGAAUCACUGGGCUUACAGAGUUCGUAAGCGGUCCAGAAAGUGGGGUGUGAAAGCCCUCGGCUUAACCGAGGAACUGCGCUCCAAACUACUGGGCUAGAGGAAGAUAGAGGUGAGCAGAACUGAUGGUGGAGCGGUGAAAUGCGUUGAUAUCAUCAGGAAUACCGGAGGCGAAGGCGGCUCACUGGGUCUUUUCUGACGCUGAGGAACGAAAGCUAGGGGAGCAAACGGG